rnacentral:rRNA from 1 species
CCUUUUGUAUAAUGGGUCAGCGACUUAUAUUCUGUAGCAAGGUUAACCGAAUAGGGGAGCCGAAGGGAAACCGAGUCUUAACUGGGCGUUAAGUUGCAGGGUAUAGACCCGAAACCCGGUGAUCUAGCCAUGGGCAGGUUGAAGGUUGGGUAACACUAACUGGAGGACCGAACCGACUAAUGUUGAAAAAUUAGCGGAUGACUUGUGGCUGGGGGUGAAAGGCCAAUCAAACCGGGAGAUAGCUGGUUCUCCCCGAAAGCUAUUUAGGUAGCGCCUCGUGAAUUCAUCUCCGGGGGUAGAGCACUGUUUCGGCAAGGGGGUCAUCCCGACUUACCAACCCGAUGCAAACUGCGAAUACCGGAGAAUGUUAUCACGGGAGACACACGGCGGGUGCUAACGUCCGUCGUGAAGAGGGAAACAACCCAGACCGCCAGCUAAGGUCCCAAAGUCAUGGUUAAGUGGGAAACGAUGUGGGAAGGCCCAGACAGCCAGGAUGUUGGCUUAGAAGCAGCCAUCAUUUAAAGAAAGCGUAAUAGCUCACUGGUCGAGUCGGCCUGCGCGGAAGAUGUAACGGGGCUAAACCAUGCACCGAAGCUGCGGCAGCGACACUGUGUGUUGUUGGGUAGGGGAGCGUUCUGUAAGCCUGUGAAGGUGUGCUGUGAGGCAUGCUGGAGGUAUCAGAAGUGCGAAUGCUGACAUAAGUAACGAUAAAGCGGGUGAAAAGCCCGCUCGCCGGAAGACCAAGGGUUCCUGUCCAACGUUAAUCGGGGCAGGGUGAGUCGACCCCUAAGGCGAGGCCGAAAGGCGUAGUCGAUGGGAAACAGGUUAAUAUUCCUGUACUUGGUGUUACUGCGAAGGGGGGACGGAGAAGGCUAUGUUGGCCGGGCGACGGUUGUCCCGGUUUAAGCGUGUAGGCUGGUUUUCCAGGCAAAUCCGGAAAAUCAAGGCUGAGGCGUGAUGACGAGGCACUACGGUGCUGAAGCAACAAAUGCCCUGCUUCCAGGAAAAGCCUCUAAGCAUCAGGUAACAUCAAAUCGUACCCCAAACCGACACAGGUGGUCAGGUAGAGAAUACCAAGGCGCUUGAGAGAACUCGGGUGAAGGAACUAGGCAAAAUGGUGCCGUAACUUCGGGAGAAGGCACGCUGAUAUGUAGGUGAAGUCCCUCGCGGAUGGAGCUGAAAUCAGUCGAAGAUACCAGCUGGCUGCAACUGUUUAUUAAAAACACAGCACUGUGCAAACACGAAAGUGGACGUAUACGGUGUGACGCCUGCCCGGUGCCGGAAGGUUAAUUGAUGGGGUCAGCGCAAGCGAAGCUCUUGAUCGAAGCCCCGGUAAACGGCGGCCGUAACUAUAACGGUCCUAAGGUAGCGAAAUUCCUUGUCGGGUAAGUUCCGACCUGCACGAAUGGCGUAAUGAUGGCCAGGCUGUCUCCACCCGAGACUCAGUGAAAUUGAACUCGCUGUGAAGAUGCAGUGUACCCGCGGCAAGACGGAAAGACCCCGUGAACCUUUACUAUAGCUUGACACUGAACAUUGAGCCUUGAUGUGUAGGAUAGGUGGGAGGCUUUGAAGUGUGGACGCCAGUCUGCAUGGAGCCGACCUUGAAAUACCACCCUUUAAUGUUUGAUGUUCUAACGUGGACCCGUGAUCCGGGUUGCGGACAGUGUCUGGUGGGUAGUUUGACUGGGGCGGUCUCCUCCUAAAGAGUAACGGAGGAGCACGAAGGUUGGCUAAUCCUGGUCGGACAUCAGGAGGUUAGUGCAAUGGCAUAAGCCAGCUUGACUGCGAGCGUGACGGCGCGAGCAGGUGCGAAAGCAGGUCAUAGUGAUCCGGUGGUUCUGAAUGGAAGGGCCAUCGCUCAACGGAUAAAAGGUACUCCGGGGAUAACAGGCUGAUACCGCCCAAGAGUUCAUAUCGACGGCGGUGUUUGGCACCUCGAUGUCGGCUCAUCACAUCCUGGGGCUGAAGUAGGUCCCAAGGGUAUGGCUGUUCGCCAUUUAAAGUGGUACGCGAGCUGGGUUUAGAACGUCGUGAGACAGUUCGGUCCCUAUCUGCCGUGGGCGCUGGAGAACUGAGGGGGGCUGCUCCUAGUACGAGAGGACCGGAGUGGACGCAUCACUGGUGUUCGGGUUGUCAUGCCAAUGGCACUGCCCGGUAGCUAAAUGCGGAAGAGAUAAGUGCUGAAAGCAUCUAAGCACGAAACUUGCCCCGAGAUGAGUUCUCCCUGACCCUUUAAGGGUCCUGAAGGAACGUUGAAGACGACGACGUUGAUAGGCCGGGUGUGUAAGCGCAGCGAUGCGUUGAGCUAACCGGUACUAAUGAACCGUGAGGCUUAACCU